GUGCCAGCAGCCGCGGUAAUACGUAGGAGGCGAGCGUUGUCCGGAAUCACUGGGCGUAAAGCGCGUGUAGGCGGAUGACUAAGUUUGCUGUGAAAGCGCCUGGCUUAACCGGGCGAGGUCGGCGAAAACUAGUCGUCUGGAGGCCGGUAGAGGGGGGUGGAAUUCCGGGUGUAGUGGUGAAAUGCGUAGAGAUCCGGAGGAACACCCGUGGCGCAGGCGGCCCCCUGGGCCGCGCCUGACGCUGAGACGCGAAAGCGCGGGGAGCGAACGGGAUUAGAUACCCCUGUAGUCC
rnacentral:rRNA from 1 species